GAUGAACGCUGGCGGCGUGCUUAACACAUGCAAGUCGAGCGAAGCAAUUUAAGUGAAGUUUUCGGAUGGAUCUUAGAUUGACUGAGCGGCGGACGGGUGAGUAACGCGUGGAUAACCUGCCUCACACAGGGGGAUAACAGUUAGAAAUGACUGCUAAUACCGCAUAAGCGCACAGUACCGCAUGGUAUAGUGUGAAAAACUCCGGUGGUGUGAGAUGGAUCCGCGUCUGAUUAGGUAGUUGGUGAGGUAACGGCCCACCAAGCCGACGAUCAGUAGCCGACCUGAGAGGGUGACCGGCCACAUUGGGACUGAGACACGGCCCAAACUCCUACGGGAGGCAGCAGUGGGGGAUAUUGCACAAUGGGCGAAAGCCUGAUGCAGCAACGCCGCGUGAGUGAAGAAGUAUCUCGGUAUGUAAAGCUCUAUCAGCAGGGAAGAAAAUGACGG
rnacentral:rRNA from 1 species